UCGCACUGUGGUGGAUUCCCGCCCGUCGCUACUACCGAUUGGAUGAUUUAGUGAGGUGUUUUGACUGGCGCCAGUAGUCGGAUAUGUAUUCGGCUUCGCGCCGGGAAAUUUCCCAAACCAAAUCAUCUAGAGGAAGUAAAAGUCGUAACAAGGUUUCCGUAGGUGAACCUGCGGAAGGAUCAUUA
rfam:Trichinella spiralis unplaced genomic scaffold Scfld512, whole genome shotgun sequence.